rnacentral:rRNA from 1 species
GCAUAUCAAUAAGCGGAGGAAAAGAAAAUAACAAUGAUUCCUCUAGUAACUGCGAGUGAAGAGGGAAAAGCUCAAAUUUUAAAUCUGUUAGGUUUACCUAACCGAGUUGUAAUUUGAAGAAGCGUUUUCUGCGAAUUUGGUUAGUCCAAAUCCUUUGGAAUAAGGUAUCAUGGAGGGUGAGAAUCCCGUUCGGUUAACCAAAGCGCUUUAAGAUACGCUUUCAAAGAGUCAAGUUGUUUGGGAUCGCAGCUUAAAAUGGGAGGUAAAUUUCUCCUAAGGCUAAAUAUUGGCGAGAGACCGAUAGCGAACAAGUACCGUGAGGGAAAGAUGAAAAGAACUUUGAAAAGAGAGUUAAACAGUACGUGAAAUUGUUGAAAGGGAAACGAUUAAAGCCAGUCGUACCUACGAGUGAUCAACCCACUCGAGUGCGAUUUUGUGGGUAUGUUUGAGCUUAAAAACCUUCAUGCUUACAAAUUGGUGCUCUUUGGGCGUACUUUCUCGUAUGGUAGGUUAACAUCAAUUUCGAUCGUUAUAAAAUGACUGGAGGAAUGUAGCUUCGACUUCGGUUGAAGUGUUAUAGCCUUUGGUAGAUGUAAUGAUUGGGAUUGAGGAUUGCAACGGAUACCCUCUGGGCUAUUCGUCUGAUCUCUGGAAGUUACCUUGGUGUCGAAAGCGUGCUUACGAUAUUAAGGUUGACGGCCAAUAGGUUAGAAUGUGAUUAAAUUCGUUAAGGAUGUUGACGUAAUGGCUUUAAACGAC